GAUGAACGCUGGCGGCGUGCCUAAUACAUGCAAGUCGAGCGAACGGACGAGAAGCUUGCUUCUCUGAUGUUAGCGGCGGACGGGUGAGUAACACGUGGAUAACCUACCUAUAAGACUGGGAUAACUUCGGGAAACCGGAGCUAAUACCGGAUGAUAUUUUGAACCGCAUGGUUCAAAAGUGAAAGACGGUCUUGCUGUCACUUAUAGAUGGAUCCGCGCUGCAUUAGCUAGUCGGUAAGGUAACGGCUUACCAAGGCAACGAUGCAUAGCCGACCUGAGAGGGUGAUCGGCCACACUGGAACUGAGACACGGUCCAGACUCCUACGGGAGGCAGCAGUAGGGAAUUUUCCGCAAUGGGCGAAAGCCUGACGGAGCAACGCCGCGUGAGUGAUGAAGGUCUUCGGAUCGUAAAACUCUGUUAUUAGGGAAGAACAUAUGUGUAAGUAACUGUGCACAUCUUGACGGUACCUAAUCAGAAAGCCACGGCUAACUACGUG
rnacentral:rRNA from 1 species